UCACUUCCUAUUCAUGAAAUUGCGUCUAUAUAUGUCAUGUUCGCUUCGGCGGACUAUGGCGAUAAAUGAUGAUGUGUAAUAGAUGCAGCGGACCCGGGGGCAGUACCCGGCGGCUCCACCAAAAUGGUCGAUUAUGUUAAAUGAUUGGCAAUAUUGACGGGGCCGAACCAGGAUCGACGUGUGUUCAAAGGCAUUAUUUUCACCCGGGCUGAGUAACCCGCUAUAGGCUCAAAACUUAUAAGUGCAAACGAUAACGAAGCACUUGCUCUUGCAGCGUAAUUGACGCCCUAACGGGAUAGAUUACUAAACAAGAACGCGGCCGAACCGGCCGGGCAACAGGAAGGUUACAGCGGCCCGGAGGGCGCCGGGCAACAGAAGCUCUCCACC
rnacentral:tmRNA from 1 species